rnacentral:rRNA from 1 species
AGUGAACGCUGGCGGUAGGCCUAACACAUGCAAGUCGAACGGCAGCACAGUAAGAGCUUGCUCUUACGGGUGGCGAGUGGCGGACGGGUGAGGAAUACAUCGGAAUCUACUUUUUCGUGGGGGAUAACGUAGGGAAACUUACGCUAAUACCGCAUACGACCUACGGGUGAAAGCAGGGGAUCUUCUGACCUUGCGCGAUUGAAUGAGCUGAUGUCGGAUUAGCUAGUUGGCGGGGUAAAGGCCCACCAAGGCGACGAUCCGUAGCUGGUCUGAGAGGAUGAUCGGCCACACUGGAACUGAGACACGGUCCAGACUCCUACGGGAGGCAGCAGUGGGGAAUAUUGGACAAUGGGCGCAAGCCUGAUCCAGCCAUACCGCGUGGGUGAAGAAGGCCUUCGGGUUGUAAAGCCCUUUUGUUGGGAAAGAAAAGCAGCAGGUUAAUACCCCGCUGUUCUGACGGUACCCAAAGAAUAAGCACCGGCUAACUUCGUG